GUCGGCCGCAGGCGGUGGCUCGCCCCGGGAUCUGGGUGUGGAGUCCCCGGAGAGGGAAUGUCACGUUGUCCUCGCGGGACUGUUGUGAACCAUGAGAUGCGGCCAGUGAAGUACUAGGCCCGGUUCCGGCCGGGACAUCUCGGCCGCCACCCCCAGCAUCACGCGGGAGCCACACUUAACACAGGCGUUUGCGCAGGCCUCGAGCCUUCCGACGCCACCGGUUUGGGACGGAGCGAGUCCCAGCCCAAGCUUGCUUCCCUGCAGGAGAGCCUCUUUAAGAAGAAGUUUUUAAAACCAUAUCAUCUAUUUUAUGACUGAUCACCGAAAUCCUCAAGAUGAACUGGAUGCUGCAACAGCUGCCCUCUUGGGUUUAAUUGUUUCAUCAUGAAAUACAUAUCUGAAUCAGGAGUAGACAGUUGUGAGGUGCCUCAUUCGCCCAGUCCUGGGAUGCCUACUUUGGAUUGAGGUCACUGAACACCAGGCAGUGUCCAAAUGGUUGGAGACCACUGCACAUGGCCCUGGUCACAUAGACUAGAAGGCCUCAUGACCCCAAUACACACCAAUGCCAGAGUGGGCCUGAAAUGAUGACGACAAUGAUGAUGAUGAUGAUGAUGAUGAUGAUGAUGACGAUGAUGAUAAUUAUAUAUAUGGAAAAUGACUGCCUACUGCUGGGGCUUUGGAGAUAACUCCCUUGGGCCUGCUGCUGGAAAGAAAAGUUGUGACUUCCCACUUUGUCCCCAAGUACCUGAUCUGAAAGUGGUGGUUUCAUUAUAGUUAUUCCCAUUACAUUCAAAUGAUUAACCCCAAGCACCUGAACCAGCUAUAUUCUCGUUGCCCUGGGGCUCACAUCUACAUUGCUUAGCUAGUUAGAUCCUCCCCAUGCUCAUCCUGCCCUGCCUUGGGCUUAGGCCCACUUCCUGCACAUCCCACCUGAGACCUCCAGACUAGCCAAAUGUAGCUAAAAUUCCUUCUGGGAGGUGCAAAUGAUUUCCCGCCCCCUCCUCCUUUGGUCCCUAUGACAAACCAAGGUACAAUCUUGCCAAAUUGCAAUCUGGGAAAUCAGUAAGUAUUGGGCUUAAUUAUAGAGCAGUGAGUGAGAGUCCACUUACAGGAG